CAAGAAGGGCAGACGUCGUGCACGAGUGUUUUAUAGAUAACGGCGAGCGAACAACAAAAGGAGUAAAAUACAAGGUUCAACAAUAAAUUCAGGGUAACGAACAACAAAAGGAGUAAAACACUCACGUACACAAGGAUCAAAAUUAAAUUCAGGUGACCGAACCACAAAAGAAGUGAGGCACAAACACACACAAGGAUCAGCAUUAAAAUGAGGUG